rnacentral:tRNA from 10 species
GCGGGAAUAGCUCAGUUGGUAGAGCACAACCUUGCCAAGGUUGGGGUCGCGGGUUCGAAUCCCGUUUCCCGCUCCA